rnacentral:lncRNA from 1 species
UUUGGAGUUGAGGUGUGGGCAUGAAAAAUAUUAGCAAAACCCAAGGUGGCUUAAGGUUCAUCCAACUAGUUGGUUGGGUUUAACAAGCAGUUUUUGUCUGGAGAUCCUGAGUCCAGCUUAAACAGUGAGGGUCAGAAUAAUCACUGCAAAAUUUGCUUCAUUUUAAGCUUUCCUCCGGCUUUUCACCAGGUGUUCUAGUUAGAGAGGCUUAUGUUAUUGACACAAAGAUAGGUCGUUGUUGAUUAACUCCGGAGGGGCACAGAGAACUGGGAGAAAGCCAAACUGGCUUCUGCCUCAUCUUUGUAUCAACUUUCAAGCUGUUAGAUUGGUAAUGACUGUGGGGUUUGGACGAUGGUGCUGGGAUGAGAGGCUGGACAAACCCCAUAUAGGUUUCUGGGCCCCAGAGGACAGCCAGUGGCAAUAGACUUAAACCUCCGAUUCUAAAUAGAAUGGGCAGGGAUCUGGAGGUGCUCUGGAGGAACUGACUAGAACCCCACAGUAGCAGGUUUGGAAAAACUAUCAUAGGCUCCUAGGGAAAUGUUGCAAUUCUAGUCACUAGAUAAAAGUGUCAGUCACAGGACAAAGUUUGACCAAUGAUUUAAUCACCUUUGACAUACCCGGAGUUCAAGAAAGGGCAAGGAAACACAGACAUUUAGACUAGCCUCUCCUUCACUCCUAGACUCACGUCCACUAAAAAUAAUAUGGGCAGACUGAAAUUUGAAUACAUUUGGUUUGGGUUUGGCUUUUAGCCAUCUGAUGAGGUACAAAAGUAAUAGUAUCUAAUGAAUAAAUGGUAAAGCAUACUACCACAAUUCAGUUUUCCCCCUAAUCCUCUGGUUGAUGCAUGAAUUCAUAUAAAGCACAAUUUCUCUGACUCAUUUGAAAUAGGGCAACACCACACGUGACUAGUCGUCCAAAAACCAUCAUGAAGAUUUGUGAAUAACUUCCAAUAAAGAGCUUUGGGCACUAAGAACACAAUUGGCAAAAACUUGAUCCAAACCGAGUCCUUCACUUGUGUUUUAAAAUCUUAGUUUGAAAGUUAUUUGGGACUUCUUAGUCAAGAAUCUGGACUUUACAAGACCUGAGGGUGGGGGCUGGAGAAAUGCAAGGAUCAGGGAUAGGGACAAGGGAUCCUUGCAGGGGACAGAGAAGACCUUGGGGGUUAAUGAAGAGAGAAUAUCUUCCCACUUGCUUGGUCAGGGUUCCUCAAUGGAAGCUCCUCUUGCUUCUGCUGAUGUCUGUUUUUUUUUGAAAAGGAAGUAACUCCAAAGACUGGUGGAAGGAGGAAAGGUAGCUGGGUCCCAUGGUGGGAACACAAUUUUCUUUAGCUGAGAGAGGGAUUUUAUUUUCAUUCCUCUUUUCAUUACACACCUUCCCUAAUCUUCUGUAUAUUCUUAAAUAAAUCUCAACAGCUCUUCCUUCCCACUCACUAGUCCUAUACCUCUGUGACUGGGCACUUUAACAGGGUGAGAAGUAAGAUCCUGGAGUCAGGGGCUGGAGGUGAGCAGUGAAAAGAGAUGCCUAGGCUGUGAGGGUGUAAGGGGACCAGGUCUACAGUUAUGAGCAAGAAGCAAGAGGGAAUGAGUAUGCUUGCAGUAGUCCAGUUAGAGGGUGUAAAGCAUGCCCUGGAGUUCAUCACUGUCUUGCCCUCUCACAGCCCCUCUAGGAAAAGCUGGCCUUCCCACACCUCCUGCUGCUUGGGCAGCUAUGUUUUCAGCGACUUCCUUAUCCAACAAAGGUUUGGUUAGCCAGUGACCAAUGAUGUUGUCUGAGACAAAACACUAAGAUAAGUCCGAGCUAAUCAGAUUCUCUCUUCAGAAUUUUAACCAAGGAAAAAAGCCAAUGGGAACUGAAGUUGAAAGGCUAAGAGAGAAACACAGGGUGAGCCAUGUGCAAACUGAAGUUUUGAGUAAAUAAACUAUAGUAUGCAGGACAAAAUCUGCUGGGAGAGUGAGAGUAGCCCUGGGCAGACAUGUAAAGAAAAGCAGAGACCCCAGGAUAAUGAAUUCCCAGGGCUGCCUCCCCUCCAGAAGGCUUUCCAAUUCUGCACCACCUAUAUCCUUAACAGUAUGUGUCCCCUUUUACCGGAGAUAAUUGAGACUCCUCUUCCCAAUGAAAAUAGCCCAACUGGGCCAGGCACGGUGGCUCACGCCUGUAAUCCCAGCACUUUGGGAG